GCAGACGCUGGGUGCCUUCUUUCCAACCCAACUACUCCUGCUGAACGCAUCUUGGGCUUGGAGCGCGGGACCACAAUCUUUACACUUCUGGCCCUCGUCCUUUACUGUCAGAAAGGGUCAGCACCUGAGGAGAUUUAGAUAGUCCCUCUGGAGGGAGUGGUUCCAUUUGCGAGCCUUUAAAAGUCUUGCCACCCAGCCUGUCCCCCGCAAACCCCUUGGGUUUAUCACAGUUUACUCACUCUCGCGCAAUGCUAGUUCUCCAUCCGCCGCUAGGAGGCACCCCGAAGGGUUUGCUGUGGUGAAAACAAUGCUGCAUGCAGUUUAUGCUGCACUUUAGUUAGCUCUUGGAGGCGAGCUGGGAAAUAGUGACUGCUGAUCCAUGGACAAAGAAGCCGCUUUUUACUAUGUUCUAUUUUCAAGGCCUGAAGAAGUUCUCUGUAGCACAUAGUAGUCUGGAGUUGGUUCCUGCCGGUGGGUUCGUGGUCUCAGGAAUAAAGCCGGGACCUUCGCGUGCCCAUAUGGAAGUGCCGGGAAGGGAAGAGCAUGGCCCCUUUAAAUGAUACUGAAGGGAGAAAGGAAGUGCUGGGUAGAGGAAGGAGUGACCCCUAGCUAGGACUCCACCCCCACGGACCUAGGUGAGGACAGAUGAGACCACCCUGGCCUGCCACGCCCCCAUCCUGUGCCUAAAAAUCCCGAGACCCUGCAGGCAGACACAUAGGCGGCUGAACAGCAGGAGGAGCACAUCAGCAGAGGAAUACACGGGAUGUGGAGAGACAGGUAUUGGCAUGCCAGCAGGCCACCAACCACCGAUGGCAGAAGCAGAAUGACGCCUGCAGGUCACACUGAUGGACAGAAGCAGAACCAUGCGGAGUUUGGCUGGGGCAGCCGAGGAGAGCCCAGGAUGCAGAGUGGCCCAACUCCAGCGGAAAACUAUCUUCCUUCUGGCUCCCUUAUCUGCUGAGAGCUACUUCUACUCAAUAAAACGUUACACUCAUUCUCCAA